AACGCGAGGCCUUGACAGGCUAGAAGACGAUGGCGGUAGGGGAGAUCACGCGAGAGCAUGGCCUCCACCUCUCCUCCCCACCCCCAUCUCCACGUUCUCGCACCGGCGCUGGGGUGCAGGCUUUCAGUGGUCUCAGGGCUACGGCUUGUCGGUGCCUCGCCGCACAGUCCCCUUUGCAUUGAAGGACAGGGUCUUACGGUGUAGGAGCAUUUUUGAGGUGCAUUCCUGGAUUUGGAGGCGAACCCCCAAUUGUUACCUCCACAGAGGCUUUGCGAAGGGCGCUCACUGGUGAAGAGCGAAGGCUCAAGACUGUGCCGCUUUAUAGUGGCCCCUUGACGUCCAGAAGUUCCCCCCAGCGCCGGUCAUAAGCACUCCCGCCGCCUGGGCCCCGCCCUGCCUGCCAGGCGCCCUCCAGCCUCAGCUCCCGGACGCCCGGCGUGGCCGCUUUCUCGCGUCUUGCUGACCCGGGCCGGGGGCGUGUGCUCCUCCUGCAGCGGACGGAAGAUGCUGGGCCACGCAAGUUUCCCUGGGCUUGGUUAACCACCCCAAAGCCCAUUUCCAGAAGGAAAGGGUGUUGAGGAGGAGGGAUAGAAAGUCGAGAAGAGGGCCGGGUGGAGUGGCUCACGCCUGUCAUCCCAGCACUUUGGGAGGCCGAGACAGGCGGAUCACCUGAGGUCAGGACUUAGAGACCAGCCUGGCCUACAUGGUGAAACCCCGUCUCUACUAAAAAUACAAAAAUUAGCCGGGUGUGGUGCCGUGCGCCUGUAGUCCCAGCAACUCGGGAGGCUGAGGUAGGAGAAUCGCUUGAACCCGGGAGUCGGAGGUUGCAGUGCUGAGAUGGCACCUGGCCUGGGCGACAAGAGCGAAACUCCAUCUCAAAAAAAAAAAAGAAGAGGAAAUGAGACAUAGGGGCAGGCGAGCCGGGAAAAUAUUGCUACUAAGGAUCCUAAGCAGUGAACAUGCUGUUAAUACUUAGAUGAGAUCUUGCUCUGUCACCCAGACUGGAGUGCAGUGGCACGAUCAUAGCUCACUGCACCUUCAAACUCCUGGACUCAAGUCAUCCUCUACCUCUGCCUCCCUGAGUAACUGGAACUACAGGUCAACACAGAUUCUCGGAAUUAAACACUUCCAUGUCCCAGAGGAUCAAAGUCACUUGCAAAAAUACCUCAAAAUGUGUUUGUCAAGAAAUUACACUUUCUCUUGAUUUUGUGGACCACUUUCUAAUUUCCAACCCAGACAAAAGCCUCCUAGUGAAGCUGGUCUUUCCUAGCACAUCCCCCUACCCCCCAGCCACUGUCCCAUCCCUGGAUGGCCUGUCCACAGAGAGCACUGUCUGUGUGGCCACUGGGGGAGGCAGCUGCAUCCCAGAGAUGAUGGUGUCCAGGGCAUGACAAGGAAGCUCUUUGUGUGGCCUGGAGACGUCCCGGGAGCUGGCUGGCGCCCACCUUCUCUCACUUCCUUACCACCUUCUUUCUUGUGUUGCUGCUUUCUCCUUCCCAGCUCUAAACUCCCCAUGGUGCUGGAGCAGCCAGAGAAGAAGUGUUACUAGACCUGCCACUGCUACCUACAAUGAGCCCCAUUCUGCACACAGAGGCUGCGGACUCCUUUUUCCCAAUCAUAGACCAGAAUGCUUGUGAAAGAAGAUGUGGCUGUUCUGCAGGUUGGAGCUCUAGGAUCGGAAGAACUCAUCUGUAUCACAUAUGAUCCAGCUGAAAGUCCCUACAAACUGGGCCCUCUGUGUCUUUAGAGGCAGCUUCCAAGGGCAGGAAGACUUCCAGAGUGCAGGACUGAGCGUGCUGCUAAUCUUGUUCUGGUCGAGAGACUGAUGAGAGAGACAAGAAUUAUGGAGUGAGAAAAGCAGCAGCAGCAGCAGCAAGUCUGCAGAGGGGAAUGCCAAACUCACUACUGUGUGUUUUUUUUUUUUGUUUGUUUGUUUGUUUGUUUUUUGAUACAGAGUUUCACUCUGUCACCCAGGCUGGAGUAGAGUGGUGCCAUCUCAGCUCAUUGCAACCUCUGCCCCCUGGGUUCAAGCAAUUCUCCUGCCUCAGCCUUCCAAGUAGCUGGGAUUAUAGGCAUGUGCCACCAUGCCUGGCUAAUUUUUGUAUUUUUAGUAGAGACAGGGUUUUGCCAUGUUGGCCAGGCUGGUCUCAAACUACUGACCUCAAGUGAUCUGCCUGCCUGGCCCCCCAAAGUACUGGGAUUACAGGUGUGAGCCACCAUGCCUGGCCUGCUGUGAUUUUUCAUUGAACCUAAUUAACUAAUUUUUAGCCCCUAUUUUUGGUACAAUAAUAGAACUUAGGUUGUAAUCAACUGGUGGGUUCUUUCCGCACACUGCACAGAUAAGAUCAGUCCACAGAGACCACAGCAUUGCAGUAAAGAAAGAGUUUGAUGUGAGGCCAGCCAUGUGGGAAAACUGGAGUUAUCACUCAAAUCAGUCUCCCCAAAGGCUUGGAGGUCAGGAUUUUUGUGGACAAUUUGGUGGGCAGGGAGCUAGGGAAUGGGUGUUGCUGAUGGGUAGGGGGUGAAAUCAUAGGGGUGUGGAAAACAGUCCUGAUGUGCUGAGUUUUCCUCUGGGUGGGGCCACAGGACCAGCUGAAUCAUGAAUCCAGGUGGGGCCAGUGUGAAGAACGUAUCAAAAAAUCAAUCUUAGGUUCUACAAUAGUGAUGUUAUCUAUAGGAGCAAUUGGAGAAGUCACAAAGCUUGUGACCCCUGGCCACAUGACUCCUGGGCAGUAAGAGAUUACUAUGUCUACAUUUUAGCAGAGUUCAUGCCUUUCCCACAACUCUAAUCUUGUAGCCCUUCAUUAAUCUUACAAAGGCGGUUUUUAGUCCCUGAGCAAGGAGGGGUUUGUUUUGGGGAGGGACUAUUAUCAUCCUUUAUUUCAGGUUAAACUAUAAACUAGAUUCCUGCCAAAGUUAGCUUGGUCUACGUCCAGGAAUGACAAGGACAGCUGGGAGGGUAGAAGCAAGAUGGAGUCAACUAUGUCCAAUUUAUCUUACUGUCAUAAUUUUUCAAAGGCAGUUUCAAGGUUACUAUUCUCAUGAUUCAACACAUCCUCAAGGAGUGAGAUUCAGUCUGUGUAAGUGUAUCAUGACUUUCUAUAACACGCCUUGUCAUGCACUCUUCUGCCCUGCUAGAAUUGGAGUCUGGCCUCAGCUGGUUCCUACCAGCAGUACUGCCAUCACCUCAUCCUCAUCUGCCCCAUCUGUUGUUUUGGAACCACUUGUGUCCUCUGAAAUGCAUAUGUUGAAGUCCUAACCACCUGUGCCUCAGAAUGGGACUAUGUUUGGAGAUAGGGUUUUAAAGAGGUACUUAAAGUUAAAUGAGAUCAUUACUGUGAACCCUGAUCCAAAAUGACUUAUGCCCUUAUAAGAAAAGGAAAUUUGGCCACUUACACUCACAGAGGAAGAAAUCAUUUGAAGACACAGGGAGAAGAGGGCCGAGGAGAGAGGUCUCAGAGAAACCAACCCAAUGACACUUCGUCUUGGAUUUCCAGCCCCCAGAAUUACUGGAAAAUACAUUUUUCUUGUUUAGGCCACCCAAUCUGUACUACUUUGUUAUGGCAACCCUAGCAAACUAAUGCAGUCACCAACCCAGGGUGAAAAUGGGACAUUCCCAACUCUAGCUGUUAGGCCAAGCUUAUUUGUAAUAGAUUCUUGUUUUCAAAGGAUAUAGAUAUUGAGAUUCUCAAUGUAUUUGUUAAAAUACAUUGUUUCUUGUUAAAAGCAUAAGACUUUGAAAUGUCUUUGUGUUGCAGAUAUGUAGAUGUUCUGAGCCAUAAUUUUUGGAAAAUUCUUUCAAAGAAAAGGAAAUCUACUGGACAAAUAGCAUGAUUAAUGGGGAUCUAGUGACAAAAUAUUCUGCCCUAAUUGGAUUUGUGAUGUUUUUGCAAUUUGAAAUUAGCUUCAAAAUCCAACAAUAAUAUGAAAGAAUGUUCAGUAUCACGAAUCAAAUUAAAACCAUAAUUAAAUCACCUCCUUUCAUUAGGGUAGCCACUAUAAAAAAAAAAGUAAAACAAAACAGAAAAUAGCAACUGUCGGCAAAGA